UACGGAGGGGACUAGCGUUGUUCGGAAUUACUGGGCGUAAAGCGCACGUAGGCGGAUUUGUAAGUCAGGGGUGAAAUCCCGGGGCUCAACCUCGGAACUGCCUUUGAUACUGCAAAUCUCGAGUCCGGAAGAGGUGAGUGGAAUUCCUAGUGUAGAGGUGAAAUUCGUAGAUAUUAGGAAGAACACCAGAGGCGAAGGCGGCCACCUGGAGGAACACUGACGCUGAGAAGCGAAAGCGUGGGGAGCAAACAGG
rnacentral:rRNA from 1 species